rnacentral:rRNA from 1 species
AGGAUGAACGCUGGCGGCGUGCUUAACACAUGCAAGUCACGGGGGCCCAGCAAUGGGCAACCGGCGAACGGGUGCGUAACACGUGAGCAACCUACCGAAAUGAGGGGGAUAGCCGGCCCAACGGCCGGGUAAUACCGCAUACGCUCGAGACCGGGCAUUUGGACUCGAGGAAACCUCCGGGGCAUUUCGAGGGGCUCGCGGCCUAUCAGCUAGUUGGUGAGGUAACGGCUCACCAAGGCGACGACGGGUAGC